ncrna:unclassified sequences RAGATH-10 RNA
AAGGCCUCAUCUCGUGUCUCCGCCAUCGGGGCGACUGACCAGUAGUAAUACAGGCACUUGGCCUAGAUGAGGAGAAGGA